ensembl:rRNA 5S_rRNA 5S ribosomal RNA
GUCUCUUGCCAUACUAUCCUGGACACACCUGAUUUUGUCUCAUCUCAGAAGUUAAGCAGGGUUGGGCUUGGUUAGUGCUUGGAUGAGAGAGAAAGAAGCCAUGCACAGGUGAAC